GGGACAGAGCCUUAACUGGUAGAAACCGGACCAGCUGCCCCGGAUUUAAAUGCUGCUCCGCUGAUUUACAUCAGCUACGGCUCUGCCCAUGGUCUCCCGUGGAACUGUGGCCAGUUUGCUCCGGCUGGGGAACCGGCCCAAUGACUCUGAUGGAACCCAAUUAAUCUGCACCGGUGGAGGACCAGGCCCAGUGCUCUCAGAAGGAAAACCCUUUCCCUCCCCCACCCACUUGAACAGGGUAAAUGUACCGAGUUCCUUCUAGCCUGAAGGCCACCCCUGGAGGCUGAGCGGUGUCACAGCUUCACCUCAUCCAGGUUCAGCUGCAGCCACUUCAUUCUGCGGCUGAGUCCCUGACAAUGAGCCUGGCCGCUUUGCUGCUGGUGCUGGCUCCAGGUGCGUUGGCCCAAUACACGGUGACCCAGGAGCGGUCCCAGGCCGCUGCCAAUGAAGGAGAACCCAUCCAGCUCAACUGCUCCUACACGGACACCGCGUACAGCGUGCAUUGGUACCGCCAGCCCCAGGGGGGCCAGCCGCGGUUCCUGGCGCUCCUGUCCUCUAGCGGCAGAGACACCCGAGAGAAUUUCACCAUGAGCCUGGACACCAAAACCAAAAGCAGCUUCUUGUACCUGAACAGCAGCCGCCUGGCAGACUCUGCUGUGUAUCUGUGCGCGCUGGAGCACAGUGCCAGGUGAGCACAGGCAGCCCGUCACAAAACCCUGGGUGGGGGCAGGGCACACGGACCCGAGGGAGGAGACAAGCAGAAGUUAGAAUAGAGCAGAGGAUAUGAGCACAGAAGAGAAGAAAGGAAAGUAGAACAGAGUCGGCGAGAGGCAAUAAGAAUAGAAUGGAACAGAAGAGAACACACGGGAACGGACCGGAACGGAAGUGAUGUGAACAGAAUAAAGGGGAGAGAAGAGAAGAGGGCUCGGUAAUUUAAGGAAGAAACUUGAAGAAUCAGCUGGAAAAAUAUAGAUAUUUUCACCUUUUUGCCUUCCCCAAUUGCCUAGAUCUGGUGGUUUUAUAUAAAAAAAUAGCUUCCUUGCCCCACAACACUAGCAGAUGGGGAAGCAUUCCCUGGGGAGACAAUCCGGUAACUCAGUAAUUCCCAUGUGAUUUUCCCUGUUGUUCAGGUCAGACACUGUCCGACUGGUAAAAUGCACACAGACAUUCUCACAUACAGCCACACACAGGACACACUAGCACAAGUACUCUCUCUCUCUCUCUCUCUCUCUCUCUCACACACACACACACACACACACACACACACACACACACA